rnacentral:rRNA from 1 species
GAGAGGUGGUGCAUGGCCGUCGUCAGUUCGUACUGUGAAGCAUCCUGUUAAGUCAGGCAACGAGCGAGACCCACGCCCACAGUUGCCAGCGUACUCUCUGGAGUGACGGGUACACUGUGGGGACCGCCGCUGCUAAAGCGGAGGAAGGAAUGGGCAACGGUAGGUCAGUAUGCCCCGAAUAUCCCGGGCUACACGCGAGCUACAAUGGUUGGUACAAUGGGUAUCUACCCCGAAAGGGGACGGGAAUCUCCUAAAACCAAUCUUAGUUCGGAUUGAGGGCUGCAACUCGCCCUCAUGAAGCUGGAAUCCGUAGUAAUCGCGUUUCAACAGAACGCGGUGAAUACGUCCCUGCUCCUU